UCGUCGGGCCCUGCCCGCCGGCACCUGCGGCUCUCCUUCCUCUCCGCACUCCGUGCCUCCGUCUGCCCAAGGCUGGGGGGAGAGAGGGACGGGGGAGGAAGGGGCAGAAAGAAAAGGAAUGCGGGGAGAAGAAAAGAAGAAUAGGAGAGCAGGGAUGUUUUGGGGGGCAGAGGGACGGGGGAGAAGGAAUACGGGGAGAAGAAAGGAGUGGUAGAGGGGGGAGAGGAGCGGUGGUUUUUGGAGGGCGGAGUAAAGGUGGGGGAAAUAGAGGGAAAAAGGGGAAUACGGGGUGAAGAAAGGAGGGCUAGGUGGGGUGGGGGAGGGAUGCGGGGAGUUUUGGGGGACAGAGGGAACGGGGACAAAGACGAGGAAUACGGGAGAAGAAAGAAGGGGAGGAGGUGGGGAAGCCGAAGCCCCCACGACUCACCUGGUGAGCCGGGACAAGGAGCUCCUACUCCCACCGCGCUCCCAGCCAGCACCUGGCCCACGGGCCGCGAUUAAAUCACCUCGGCCCCGCCCCGCUGUCACCCGGCCCUGCCUCCUGGGACUCUCCGGGGCUCCGUGGUAGCUGUGCUUAAUGUACAGGUCAGUGGGAAUACCUGGAUUUAUCUCUUCUAUCCCCAGAGCCAAGCAGUCAGUCCAACAUUCCUGUCUACUCUGGUGCCAGCCACUGUCUUGCGUUCCAACUCGCUCCUCAGAUGGAAAAAGGCAGGCAGGAUUGUCAGGAAGCAUAUUUAAUAGAGAAGGAAUCUUGAACUGCAUUCAAGCACUGCCCUAAUCUUCCUCAGGAUUGGGACCAUAACUGCUGAAUGCUACUGGCAGUGAGGCUUCUUCCCAGCUGGGUGAUCCUGUGUCCCAGGCUCCGCAGUGUGGCUGGACACACAGGUGUUUUACUCAGCUGCACAUCCAGCUUGUCCCAGAGAUGUUGUGGCUCCCUGACAGGAACGUGGCAGCCCCUGGCCCAGCUGGGAGCACAGCGAGGUGAAGGCUGAGCAGUGCAUCCACCACCACGGGACUGCUCAGUGCUGAGAUUCAAGCUAUUUAUCACUGAUGGGAAUGCUGGAGGGCUGCCAGCCUGAGCUCCAGAGACCCCAGAGAUGCACGGAGCAGAGCUGCUGCCAAGGUGGACACGCAGCCCAACCCUUUCCUUUUUCAACCCCUACACUGGAAUUCCCUUCUACAAAGUUCUCUGGUGACCUUCUUGACACCAGCAGCCACAAACCAGAGUGCCAGUUUUCUGUGGAAUCAGAGGUAACACGAGUGGAAAUGACUGGCAGUGUGUCAGCUCUUUGCUCUCUGUACUUCAGGGUGUGCAAUGACACCAAUGAAUCUCAGUCUAACUUUCUUUUUCUUUUUUCUUACAGGGACUCCAGGGCUACAAGGCUCUGGCAUGAACCACUUCACCUGGAACUGUAGCUCAGGAUUCUCUGUCCUAUCCCAAGUGGACGUGGAUAACAAACUCAUUCUUUUUGAAGAACAUUUUCAAAAGUCUCAACAUUUUCAAAAAUUUCAAAAAUGUGACUCUUCCCACCAAUACAAUUCUCUGUCAUAAACCAGGCCUUUGAGGAUUCCCUCUUCUCCCUGCCUUUCCAAUGGGGGCACUAUUUCCCUGAAGUCUGGGACCCGCUGCCAGACACAGAACUCUCACAGCCAGACAUCCCCAGUGCUGAUGGCAUCAGAAGGGCUACUCCAGGUUGGAUUUAGGCACUCCUGUCAAUACAUCACAGGGUGAGAUAGCUCAUGACCAGGUGAUGGUAUUUUUCACGCCCUUUUCAACCCAAAUUCUGCUAAUUACUGCCAUUCUGAGUAACACUUUGCAAUUCUCCUUACACAGCCUGUUCCUGCACACUGCAGGGCCAUUUGCCAGACUCACUCUGACUUCCCAUCCCGUUCCAGUGAGCCCCUCUCCCCCUUCCUGCUUCCUGCUGAACUAAGGAGUGCUUCCCUCUAAUUCCUUGUGUAAAUCACUGAUGCCUAUGGUGAAUACCACCGUGUGCAGGUGGAUGUGGACAGACUUUGAGGGGAGCCCAUUCAAUGGAUCUAUGCUCCCUGUCUGUGAAUCACUGCUUCAGAAAAUGGUUGCAGAAUGGCUGUUUUCCCUUCUGAUCCCUUCCAACAGCACGUGCCUGGGGGGCUCCCAGCAGUGUGCAGGGAACACCAGGGUGUCCAUGGGCCCAGAGAGCAGGGAAAGGGGCUCACUGUCACACCCUGGCACCAGUCACACUGCUGUGCUGCAUCAGUGCUCAGUGCCCUGCUCCCUGGGCACGGCAGAGGGGCUGUGCUGGCUGCAGGGGACUUGGGCAGUUCCUUCCAGGGAUGAGAAAAACAUUUCAAAAAUAGGACAAACAGCGCUGGAGAACUAUGCAGCAGAGGUACAAAACAUAGCAGGGAAGCAGGACAUGCCCAGCAGCUGACUCUGCCAGACUUGUCCUGCUGGUUUUGUGUCCUGGCAGUGGCACAGCCCCUGGCCCUCCAGGCCCCCCAGCCCGGCCACCACAGCAGUGCUCAGGCUGGGACCAAAGGGACCUCUGCUGGAAACAGGCAGCAUUACCAAAAGCUUCCAAAGCUUCCCUAAACUUUUGUGAAAAACGCUAUAUAAGAAGCUAAAUCCACUCAGACCAAAAGAGACUAGAGGGAGAAUUCAGAUGCACAUAAAUUUUGCUUCCUAACAGUUACAAAUUCUUUGAGGAAUUCUAAUUAAUAUAUGACUUCAACAUUCCAUUUUAGGGACUAACACAUGCUCAAAUAGCUUCAGGAGACUGAAAAAUGGAAGAGUUUUAAGAGAGACUGGGAGGCUCAGCAGUUACACAGAUGUUUUAAAUGGCACAGCUUUAUCCUGUGACUCCUCUGUGGCAGCAGUUUAGAAUCAUUGGCCAUAGUUAUAUUUCCAGAUCUCUGUUGGGAAAAACAAUUACAGAAAGGAUAAAGGAUAAUAACUCUGUACUGAAGUUUGGAAGAGGUUCAUCAGGUGCUUGACAAGUGUAUUAUUUCUAAUGUGUAGUUGAAAGUAUUUUUACCAUUUCAAAACUGCUAUUGCUUUAAAGGCAGUCUUUUAAUAAUGACUUAAUACUGUCAUCUCUAAGGAUGAGCGUGGGAGUCAGUGGUACUGAGGGACAAACCUAAUUCUGUCAAACAUGGGUAAGUUUAGGUUUUGACUCUCUGUGCACGCUCCUCUGAUGGUUAUGAGAGUUUGCUGUGGCUGUGAAGAAAUGUCUUAUAAUAAGAAGACCCAGCCAGCCUUUGUGGGCUGCUUUGUUUCCAAACACCAACAAAACUCACACAGCAGUUCUGAGAUGCUCUAGGAAGACAAAUCUACAAAGAAACAUCACUUACACUAAAACUCCACUAACAGAACUGGAGAAUAUUAAUGGGCUGGUGCAGUUUCACAUGCUCUAAAUAGGAAAUAAGAUCAGAAUCAGCACUGCCACAGACCUGAAAGCAGAAGAAAGUACUUCUCAAUGCUAAUUGCUCCACUGCCUAUAUGUGGAGCUGUGGCUACAGGAUCUUUUCUCAUCUUAUUUUCUAUUCCUAGUUUAUAUUUUAAUUUAUUAAGUGCAAAUAAGCCAUGGGAUCAUCAACAACAACAACAACAACUCCAAAAUAUCAACAAGAACAAAAUAAACCACAGAGAGGAAAUGUUAAUGCUUCACAAGUCAGAGAGGGACAAAGCUUGAUGAGCCAAUUAAAGCAAGCUUCCAGUGA